UAGGAGCGAUCGACAGAGAUUUAUUUGCUCGUGUCUAGCCGUCCCCCUACUUCCACGUCUCGAGUCCCCGUCCUUCUUCCUUAUUCCAAACUUCAAGCCUCCAUAUUAUUUGAUACAUGUUAUUUAUAUUAUUUGACUAACACUCUUGUGAAUUUGUGAUUUUUGUAGUUUUGUUUUGAACGCGUAACUUGACUUAAGUAUAUUAGUAAGUUUGAAAUUGGAUUUUUCUAAAAUGUGAAACUGGAGACUUCUUUCGAA